rnacentral:rRNA from 1 species
UACGUAGGGUGCGAGCGUUGUCCGGAAUUAUUGGGCGUAAAGAGCUUGUAGGCGGUUUGUCGCGUCUGCUGUGAAAAUCCGGGGCUCAACCCCGGACUUGCAGUGGGUACGGGCAGACUAGAGUCCGGAAGAGGAGAGUGGAAUUCCUGGUGUAGCGGUGAAAUGCGCAGAUAUCAGGAAGAACACCCGUGGCUAAGGCGGCUCUCUAGUACGGUACUGACGCUGAGACGCGAAAGCGUGGGGAGCGAACAGG